AUACGUAGGGGGCGAGCGUUGUCCGGAAUGAUUGGGCGUAAAGGGCGCGUAGGCGGCCCGGUAAGUCUGGAGUGAAAGUCCUGUUUUUAAGAUGGGAAUUGCUUUGGAUACUGUCGGGCUUGAGUGCAGGAGAGGUAAGUGGAAUUCCCAGUGUAGCGGUGAAAUGCGUAGAGAUUGGGAGGAACACCAGUGGCGAAGGCGACUUUCUGGACUGUAACUGACGCUGAGGCGCGAAAGUGUGGGGAGCAAACAGGAUUAGAUACCCUGGUAGUCCACACUGUAAACGAUGAAUGCUAGGUGUAGGGGGUAUCGACCCCUUCUGUGCCGCAGUCAACACAAUAAGCAUUCCGCCUGGGGAGUACGGCCGCAAGGUUGAAACUCAAAGGAAUUUACGGGG
rnacentral:rRNA from 1 species